CAUAUUUGCUCUCCUUCACAGGAGAGUUUCAAGGGACCUUAAGACAUGAAGCUCCUCUCAUUUGCUGUUCUCUUCUGUUUGGUUCAAAUGAACUCAGGCAAUGUUCCACCUGGAAUUAGAAAUACCAUCUGCCUUAUGCAGCAAGGGACCUGCAGACGUUUUUCUGCCAUUCUGGUGAGAGAAAGCGUGACACUUGCUCUGAUCCCUGGAAUAGGUGUUGUGUAUCAAAUACAGAGGAAGAAGAAAAAGAGAAACCAGAGAAGGAUGGCCGAUCUGGGAUCUAAAAUAUAAGCUCCUGGAAGACAGGGAUCUUGAAGUAUCCGAAAGGCUUAAAGGACUGUGUGGCUUAUAGUCGGUGUUCAAUAAAUAUUUGUUGAAUGAAUUUAGC